CGGUGCGCAGUUCGGGGAGUUCUUCGACUGUUAAUCGAGUGGUUGCGGGUUCGAGUCCCGUCCGACCA
rnacentral:tRNA from 1 species